rnacentral:rRNA from 1 species
GACGAACCGUGCGAACGUUGUUCGGAAUCACUGGGCUUAAAGGGCGCGUAGGCGGGCUGUCAAGUCUGGGGUGAAAUGCCGCGGCUCAACCGUGGAACUGCCUUAGAUACUGACGGCCUCGAGGAAGGUAGGGGCAUGCGGAACUGUAGGUGGAGCGGUGAAAUGCGUUGAUAUCUACAGGAACUCCGGUGGCGAAAGCGGUGUGCUGGACCUUUUCUGACGCUGAGGCGCGAAAGCUAGGGGAGCAAACGGG